AGAGUUUGAUCCUGGCUCAGAGAACGCUGGCGGCGUGCUUAACACAUGCAAGUCGAGCGAUGAAGUUCCUUCGGGAACGGAUUAGCGGCGGACGGGUGAGUAACACGUGGGUAACCUGCCUCAUAGAGGGGAAUAGCCUUUCGAAAGGAAGAUUAAUACCGCAUAAGAUUGUAAUGCCGCAUGGCAUAGCAAUUAAAGGAGUAAUCCGCUAUGAGAUGGACCCGCGUCGCAUUAGCUAGUUGGUGAGGUAACGGCUCACCAAGGCGACGAUGCGUAGCCGACCUGAGAGGGUGAUCGGCCACAUUGGGACUGAGACACGGCCCAGACUCCUACGGGAGGCAGCAGUGGGGAAUAUUGCACAAUGGGGGAAACCCUGAUGCAGAAACGCCGCGUGAGUGAUGACGGUCUUCGGAUUGUAAAGCUCUGUCUUCAGGGACGAUAAUGACGGUACCUGAGGAGGAAGCCACGGCUAACUACGUG
rnacentral:rRNA from 1 species